rnacentral:rRNA from 1 species
AUAUUGGACAAUGGGGGCAACCUUGAUCCAGCCAUGCCGCGUCUGUGAAGAAGGGCUUCGGAGUGUUAAGCACUUUAAGUUGGGAGGAAGGGCCUUAGGUUAAUACCUUGCUGUUUUGACGCUACCGACAGAAUAAGCACCGGCUAACUUCGUGCCAGCAGCCGCUGAAAUACGAAGGGUGCAAGCGUUAAUAGGAAUUACUGGGCUUAAAGCGCGCGUAGGUGGUUUGUUAAGUUAGAAGUGAAAGCCCCGGGCUCAACCUGGGAACUGCUUUCAAAACUGGCAAGCUAGAGUAUGGCAGAGGGUGGUGGAAUUUCCUGUGUAGCGGUGAAAUGCGUAGAUAUAGGAAGGAACACCAGUGGCGAAGGCGACUACCUGGACUGAUACUGACACUGAGGUGCGAAAGCGUGGGGAGCAAAC